rnacentral:rRNA from 1 species
ACGCUGGGCGGCGUGCUUAACACAUGCAAGUCGAACGAAGCACUUUCCUACGAUCCCUUCGGGGUGACGAGUUUGUGAUUGAGUGUCGGACGGGUGAGUAACGCGUGGGUAACCUGCCUUAUACAGGGGGAUAACAGUUGGAAACGGCUGCUAAUACCGCAUAAGCGCACAGUAUCGCAUGAUACAGUGUGAAAAACUCCGGUGGUAUAAGAUGGACCCGCGUCUGAUUAGCUAGUUGGUGAGGUAACGGCUCACCAAGGCGACGAUCAGUAGCCGAUCUGAGAGGAUGAUCGGCCACAUUGGGACUGAGACACGGCCCAGACUCCUACGGGAGGCAGCAGUGGGGAAUAUUGCACAAUGGGCGAAAGCCUGAUGCAGCCACGCCGCGUGAGCGAUGAAGUAUUUCGGUAUGUAAAGCUCUAUCAGCAGGGAAGAUAAUGACGGUACCUGACUAAGAAGCACCGGCUAAAUACGUGCCAGCAGCCGCGGUAAUACGUAUGGUGCAAGCGUUAUCCGGAUUUACUGGGUGUAAAGGGAGCGUAGGCGGUCUUGCAAGUCUGAUCUGAAAGCCCGGGGCUCAACCGCGGGAUUGCAUUGGAAACUGUAGGACUUGAGUAUCGGAGAGGUAAGUGGAAUUCCUAGUGUAGCGGUGAAAUGCGUAGAUAUUAGGAGGAACACCAGUGGCGAAGGCGGC